AUAAGGAAGUUAGGAGGAGGUGGGGAUUGUGCCAGAGAUAGACUGAGUACUGUUUUGCAUGUGUUGAAGGCCUAACUGCCCACACUUAGCGCCUACAUUUUCUCACCACCUACUCCUUGAAAUCUGACUCUUGCAGUCCUGCAAUCUGCUGGAAUUAAUUUCUCCCAAGCUCUCGAGGUAGGCUGCUCCCAUCUCGACCUGGUGACCCAUCAGCUCAAAUUCAACAUGUCUAAAGCCAAUUUUUAAGUAAUUGGUACUCCGCUCCAGUGACGCCGGCCUCCAGGCUGUUCUACAAACAAGACACUCCAUCUCUCAUCUCUGGGUAUUUUUUGGUACAUCUCCUGUCCCUACAAUGCUCUCCCUCCUCCACUCCUACUACUGACCUCCUUAGCUUCCUUUAAGUCCUAACUG